GAGCCGCAGGGAAACCGAGUCUUAAUUGGGCGUUAAGUUGCAGGGUAUAGACCCGAAACCCGGUGAUCUAGCCAUGGGCAGGUUGAAGGUUGGGUAACACUAACUGGAGGACCGAACCGACUAAUGUUGAAAAAUUAGCGGAUGACCUGUGGCUGGGGGUGAAAGGCCAAUCAAACCGGGAGAUAGCUGGUUCUCCCCGAAAGCUAUUUAGGUAGCGCCUCGUGAAUUCAUCUCCGGGGGUAGAGCACUGUUUCGGCUAGGGGGCCAUCCCGGCUUACCAACCCGAUGCAAACUGCGAAUACCGGAGAAUGUUAUCACGGGAGACACACGGCGGGUGCUAACGUCCGUCGUGAAGAGGGAAACAACCCAGACCGCCAGCUAAGGUCCCAAAGUCAUGGUUAAGUGGGAAACGAUGUGGGAAGGCCCAGACAGCCAGGAUGUUGGCUUAGAAGCAGCCAUCAUUUAAAGAAAGCGUAAUAGCUCACUGGUCGAGUCGGCCUGCGCGGAAGAUGUAACGGGGCUAAACCAUGCACCGAAGCUGCGGCAGCGACACUGUGUGUUGUUGGGUAGGGGAGCGUUCUGUAAGCCUGCGAAGGUGGCCUGUGAGGGUUGCUGGAGGUAUCAGAAGUGCGAAUGCUGACAUAAGUAACGAUAAAGCGGGUGAAAAGCCCGCUCGCCGGAAGACCAAGGGUUCCUGUCCAACGUUAAUCGGGGCAGGGUGAGUCGACCCCUAAGGCGAGGCCGAAAGGCGUAGUCGAUGGGAAACGGGUUAAUAUUCCCGUACUUGGUGUUACUGCGAAGGGGGGACGGAGAAGGCUAUGUUGGCCGGGCGACGGUUGUCCCGGUUUAAGCGUGUAGGUGUGUGUUCCAGGUAAAUC
rnacentral:rRNA from 1 species